AUCCAGCCGACAAGUCCCAAAUAGGAUGCAACGCGCGUCCUGGAU
rnacentral:hammerhead_ribozyme from 1 species